rnacentral:rRNA from 1 species
CAGUCGUGCCGGCGUUGGAUUCAGCUUGCUUCGCGGAGCAGGCGCAUUUCCGCGCAUGGCAGGUCAGCGUCAGUUUUGCGCGGCGUGAAAAGGCCCGGGUAAGGUAGCUCUCUUCGGGGAGUGUUAUAGACCUGGGCAGAUGCGCUGCGCGGGACUGAGGUCCGCGCAUCUGCUAGGAUGCUGGC